CCUGACGCCGGCAGCAGCAGUUCCUUCCCCUAGCAGCAGCUAAAUCCAGUUUACAGUCUUUCUAACACUUGUAGAACUAAUUUCAUCACCCCCAGCUCUGAGGUCAACACCAGCCGGCAGGCACCCCCACCUCAGAUGUCUGGUUCCAGCCCCACAAGGUGCUCCUGUCUCUAAGCUGUAAUCAUUCCAAAUGCACCCCUUUGCUGCCUGGCCCUAGGGGUGGUAGUGCUUCCUCCAUAACACCUUCUUAGCAUUCUCUGACAGUAGUGUGAAGGCGUCCCAACCCCUAACAUGAAUUUCCUGGACUGUGGGAGCCUUUUGUGCCCUGGUGAGCCCUGGGGAGACCAAAAGCAGUUCGUCUAACCCCUAUGUGGUUCGUAACUGCUCUACUCCGAGAAAGCAGGCUGGCUUACCCUUGGAGAGGCCAGUAAUUCUGUUCUCAGCUCUUUCCUGUGCGGGCCUCGACAUCUCAGGGAGAAUGGACAGGUGCAUCUCAGUUCCAGUCAUCUCAGCACACGCCUCCCGCUCUGCCUCCCUGCUGAUCUGCACCUUGGCUGUGGCCUUGCCUGACCUCAGAAUGCUCCCAGGAGGAGAGGCCAUUGCCUUCUCCAUGGCCCCCCAAGUGUGAGCAGAACUGAUGGAGAAACUGGGCCAAGCGAGGAGAGAAACUUGAGUGGGAGACCUUGGGGCUGUUGGGAGAGGAUACAGAGAAGGUGGCUGCCUUGGAUGCUGUGAGUUUCUGUUUCCUUCCUCAUUAGUGUCUUUCUUACUGAGAAAAUCCCUUUUCCUUGAAGUAACUUGACUGAAUAUUUGACUGGUUCCCUUUUGCCAAGUGAACCCAAGAAAGAAAAGGAAAGAAAGGACAAGGAACCCAGCAUCCACUGAGGACCUGCUGUGUGGCAGGACAGUGCUGGGAGCCCCGCACACAUGCAGUCCUUGAGGACUGAUUGAGCAGCUCCGGGUGAUGGGGGCACAGGUACCAUGUUGUUCAGCAGAGCUCUAGAACUUACUCAUCUCACAUAACCAAAUUUUAUACCCAUUGAGCAAGAUUUCUCCAGGUCCCUUUCGCCCAGCUCCUGGAAACUGCCAUUCUAUUCUCUGCUUCUAUGAGUCUGACUAUUUUGAUACCCCAGGCUCAAGCCUUCAAGGACUAGGCUAGAGGCUGACCUGAGUGACCAGCACCAAGUGGUCCUCCAAGCUGUCCUUCCUCCUGGACGUCCCCGGAGAGGCUCUCAACGCUCUCGGACCAAGACCUCUUGCCUUUCUCUUGGGAUGAACUAUUUCUCAUCCUUAGUCUCUCACACCAGUGGACUCCUGGGAUCCCAGCCCAUAAGAUGUGCCUGAAUCUCCCCUUUGCAAACACCCCACUGUGCACAAGUGUUGUUAUCCUCAUGUUGUGGGUGGGGAAACUGAGGCCCUGAAUGUCGGAUGACUUGCUUGAGGUCACUAAGAGUCUCCAGAUCCCUAACACUGAGUCAGCCCUAUGCUCACCACACAACAUUGUGUUACACACCACCUCACUGUUGUGGCCAAAAGUUAUGCUUUGAGAUCAUCAUCUUGCUCUGUCCAGGGACCCGCAGGCUGUUCUGAGGUUGGACUAUGGUGGUUCCCAUGCAGGCCCAGCAUCAGAAUUGCCUGUGAACAUUGAGAAGCUCAGGUGCCAGAGCCCAAGCCCAGGGAGUUCUGGCUCACUAAAUCCAGGUGGGCCCAGGUGCACAGGUAUCUGUAGAGUCAAUUCUCAUUCUCACGGUAGUCAUGUUUUAUAAAGUUUCUGUGAACACUGAAUUAGCAGAUACUGAACCUUUGCUCCCAGGGGAAACAGGGUUAGAUUCCUGUGUCUCUGGUUACAACCAAUACAUAGCCUUGUUUCAUGCGUGUUUCUAUUAAAGACACGUUUUUUACUCUCUAUUGUUGAUUCAUUGACACUGAACUCACGGCCAACAGCACCGUAACUUGUGUCUGAAA